GUAUAAUGAUGAUAACCAUGCGUGUCAGCUGACUCUGUAACCCUCUGCUGUCUUGUUGCUGUGGUCGGCGUUUUGUUGGCCAGAGUUUUCAUCACAGCAGAGCUGCAGAGACGUGAUCAUAUUUCACUACUUCUGAAUAC
ensembl:snoRNA Small nucleolar RNA SNORD10